UACGUAGGUGGCAAGCGUUGUCCGGAAUUACUGGGCGUAAAGCGCACGUAGGCGGCUUUGUAAGUUAGAGGUGAAAGCCCGGGGCUCAACUCCGGAAUUGCCUUUAAGACUGCAUCGCUAGAACGUCGGAGAGGUAAGUGGAAUUCCGAGUGUAGAGGUGAAAUUCGUAGAUAUUCGGAAGAACACCAGUGGCGAAGGCGACUUACUGGACGACUGUUGACACUGAGGUGCGAAAGCGUGGGGAGCAAACAGG
rnacentral:rRNA from 1 species